CAGAAUAUAGUUUAUUAAAAUAAUAAUUUUGGAGAUUAUAGAUAAAAGUUUUUUUUAUUCUGA
rnacentral:tRNA from 1 species